ACUCAUUGCACCCUGGCACCUGUCGUCCCUCCACUUUCUCUCUCGCCACAUUCACUUGUUACAUUUGACUUCACACGUAUGCUGUUUUCAUACUUGUUGCGUAACCUGUCCCAUAUUUGCAAUGAAUUUGCGAUUAUUCGCGAUAAUUUUGGUCCUUGUGAUCUGUGCCGUGGCAACGGCGCUUUACUUGGCGAGCUGUGUCCCACAGAAUGCCGACGUCCCGCCAGGAUUUCAUAUUCCUGGAUUAAAUCAUACGAAUAUUGUAUCGCUUCCGCUUCGAGGGAGGAAUUAAAUCGGAGCAAUUAAUUGGGAACAAUCCGGUCGGAAAAGUGAAAGUCCAACUUUCUACAUCGAAAUUUUGGAUUUUCCUGUCCUCUGCAUAUCUUAGAAAUCGGAUACAAACUUAUUUUCAUCAAUUUCUUAUUCAAAUAUUCAAAUACGACAUUUAGUAUUCAAAGUUACACAAUGUUUUUGUACAAUGUUGUACAAAAUUUUGACCAACAGUGCGAUGUACGGACACUGGUGUCCAUUUCGAACUUCUCCGAUGUUGAUAAAUAUUUACAUAAGCUAAAUUUAUUAUAUCUGUGUAAUAAUUAAUAAAUAAAUUUACCUGAUUGCAAA